rnacentral:rRNA from 1 species
GACGAACGCUGGCGGCGUGCUUAACACAUGCAAGUCGAACGAAGUGGCGAACGGGUGAGUAACGCGUAAUCAACCUGCCCUUCAGAGGGGGACACCAGUGGGAAACGACUGCUAAAACCGCAUACUGAAGGGGGGGUUUGUGUCUGAUUAGCUCGUUGUGGGGGUAACGGCCCACCAAGGCGAUGGUCAGUAGCCUGUCUGGGUGGAUGGACCGCCACAUGGGGACUGGGGCCAGGCCCAGGCUCCUAAGGGAGGGAGCAGGGGGGGAUCUUCCGAAAUGGACGAAAGUCUGGCUGCGCAACGCCGCGUGAGGGAUGACGGCCUUCGGGUUGGAAAGCUCUUUUAAUCGGGACGCGGUACCGGAAUAGAAAGCCACGGCUAACUACGUGCCAGCCGCCGCGGUAAUAC